AAUCCAUAGGUUAAUGAGGCGAACCGGGGGAACUGAAACAUCUAAGUACCCCGAGGAAAAGAAAUCAACCGAGAUUCCCCCAGUAGCGGCGAGCGAACGGGGAGGAGCCCAGAGCCUGAAUCAGCAUGUGUGUUAGUGGAAGCGUCUGGAAAGGCGCGCGAUACAGGGUGACAGCCCCGUACACAAAAGCGCAUGUGCUGUGAGCUCGAUGAGUAGGGCGGGACACGUGGUAUCCUGUCUGAAUAUGGGGGGACCAUCCUCCAAGGCUAAAUACUCCUGACUGACCGAUAGUGAACCAGUACCGUGAGGGAAAGGCGAAAAGAACCCCGGCGAGGGGAGUGAAAAAGAACCUGAAACCGUGUACGUACAAGCAGUGGGAGCACCCUUCGGGGUGUGACUGCGUACCUUUUGUAUAAUGGGUCAGCGACUUAUAUUCUGUAGCAAGGUUAACCGAAUAGGGGAGCCGGAGGGAAACCGAGUCUUAAUUGGGCGUUAAGUUGCAGGGUAUAGACCCGAAACCCGGUGAUCUAGCCAUGGGCAGGUUGAAGGUUGGGUAACACUAACUGGAGGACCGAACCGACUAAUGUUGAAAAAUUAGCGGAUGACCUGUGGCUGGGGGUGAAAGGCCAAUCAAACCGGGAGAUAGCUGGUUCUCCCCGAAAGCUAUUUAGGUAGCGCCUCGUGAAUUCAUCUCCGGGGGUAGAGCACUGUUUCGGCUAGGGGGCCAUCCCGGCUUACCAACCCGAUGCAAACUGCGAAUACCGGAGAAUGUUAUCACGGGAGACACACGGCGGGUGCUAACGUCCGUCGUGAAGAGGGAAACAACCCAGACCGCCAGCUAAGGUCCCAAAGUCAUGGUUAAGUGGGAAACGAUGUGGGAAGGCCCAGACAGCCAGGAUGUUGGCUUAGAAGCAGCCAUCAUUUAAAGAAAGCGUAAUAGCUCACUGGUCGAGUCGGCCUGCGCGGAAGAUGUAACGGGGCUAAACCAUGCACCGAAGCUGCGGCAGCGAACGUAUCACCCAAGACAACUUUGCGGAGUUGACGAUUGACGGAGCGAAGCGACGUCAAAGCGUUCAUUAAAGUCGAGUUGGCUUAGGGAUACGUUCGUUGGGUAGGGGAGCGUUCUGUAAGCCUGUGAAGGUAUGCUGUGAGGCAUGCUGGAGGUAUCAGAAGUGCGAAUGCUGACAUAAGUAACGAUAAAGCGGGUGAAAAGCCCGCUCGCCGGAAGACCAAGGGUUCCUGUCCAACGUUAAUCGGGGCAGGGUGAGUCGACCCCUAAGGCGAGGCCGAAAGGCGUAGUCGAUGGGAAACGGGUUAAUAUUCCCGUACUUGGUGUUACUGCGAAGGGGGGACGGAGAAGGCUAUGUUGGCCGGGCGACGGUUGUCCCGGUUUAAGCGUGUAGGUGUGUGUUCCAGGUAAAUCCGGUUCACUUUAACACUGAGGCGUGACGACGAGGCACUACGGUGCUGAAGCAACAAAUGCCCUGCUUCCAGGAAAAGCCUCUAAGCAUCAGGUAACAUCAAAUCGUACCCCAAACCGACACAGGUGGUCAGGUAGAGAAUACCAAGGCGCUUGAGAGAACUCGGGUGAAGGAACUAGGCAAAAUGGUGCCGUAACUUCGGGAGAAGGCACGCUGACAUGUAGGUGAAGUGAUUUACUCAUGGAGCUGAAGUCAGUCGAAGAUACCAGCUGGCUGCAACUGUUUAUUAAAAACACAGCACUGUGCAAACACGAAAGUGGACGUAUACGGUGUGACGCCUGCCCGGUGCCGGAAGGUUAAUUGAUGGGGUCAGCGCAAGCGAAGCUCCUGAUCGAAGCCCCGGUAAACGGCGGCCGUAACUAUAACGGUCCUAAGGUAGCGAAAUUCCUUGUCGGGUAAGUUCCGACCUGCACGAAUGGCGUAAUGAUGGCCAGGCUGUCUCCACCCGAGACUCAGUGAAAUUGAACUCGCUGUGAAGAUGCAGUGUACCCGCGGCAAGACGGAAAGACCCCGUGAACCUUUACUAUAGCUUGACACUGAACAUUGAGCCUUGAUGUGUAG
rnacentral:rRNA from 1 species